rnacentral:rRNA from 1 species
UACGAGGGGGGCGAGCGUUGUUCGGAAUUAUUGGGCGUAAAGGGCGCGUAGGCGGUGCGGUAAGUCACCUGUGAAACCUCUGGGCUCAACUCAGAGCCUGCAGGCGAAACUGCCGUGCUGGAGUGUGGGAGAGGCGCGUGGAAUUGCAGGUGUAGCGGUGAAAUGCGUAGAUAUCUGCAGGAACACCCGUGGCGAAAGCGGCGCGCUGGACCACAACUGACGCUGAGGAACGAAAGCUAGGGGAGCAAACAGG